rnacentral:rRNA from 1 species
UAGGGAAUCUUCGGCAAUGGACGGAAGUCUGACCGAGCAACGCCGCGUGAGUGAAGAAUUUUUUCGGAUCGUAAAGCUCUGUUGUUAGAGAAUAACGUUGUUAUGAGUUGAAAAUCUACCAAGUUACGGUAACUAACCAGAAAGGGACUGCUAACUACGUUCCAUCCGCCUCGGUAAUACGUAGGUCCCGAUCGUUGUCCGGAUUUAUUGGGCGUAAAGCGAGCGCAGGCGGUUCUUUAAGUCUGAAGUUAAAGGCAGUGGCUUAACCAUUGUACGCUUUGGAAACUGGAGGACUUGAGUGCAGAAGGGGAGAGUGGAAUUCCAUGUGUAGAGGUGAAAUGCGUAGAUAUAUGGAGGAACACCGGUGGCGAAAGCGGCUCUCUGGUCUGUAACUGACGCUGAGGCUAGAAAGCGUGGGGAGCAAACAGG